AACGAACGCUGGCGGCAUGCCUAACACAUGCCAGUCGAACGAGACCUUCGAGUCUAGUGGCGCACGGGUGCGUAACGCGUGGGAACCUGCCCUUAGGUUCGGAAUAACUCCCCGAAAGGGGUGCUAAUACCGGAUAAUGUCUUCGGACCAAAGAUUUAUCGCCUUUGGAUGGGCCCGCGUUGGAUUAGCUAGUUGGUAGGGUAAAAGCCUACCAAGGCGACGAUCCAUAGCUGGUCUGAGAGGAUGAUCAGCCACACUGGGACUGAGACACGGCCCAGACUCCUACGGGAGGCAGCAGUGGGGAUAUUGGACAAUGGGCGAAAGCCUGAUCCAGCAAUGCCGCGUGAGUGAUGAAGGCCUUAGGGUUGUAAAGCUCUUUUACCCGGGAUGAUAAUGACAGUACCGGGAGAAUAAGCUCCGGCUAACUCCGUG
rnacentral:rRNA from 1 species